CUAUUAUCUUGUGAAUGUUAUAUCGCGAUUUCCAAUUAUGUAGUAUCUAGUAGCAUUUACGUAAAUUUUUGUAUAUAAUAUGUAUUAUAUGUUAUAUAUAAUACAAAUAUGUAGGUAUAUGACGUAUAUACCUAUGUAUAACUUAGAAAAAAAUUAAAUUUUGAACUUUAAUAUUAAUAUUCGUCCAAAAUAUUAACAAACUUUAUUAUUUUUUUUACCAUUGAACGAUAUUGUAUUGAACGAAUUUGUGCAUUACUCACAAAACUACUACUACGAACCUGCUACAUUAAAAUAUUACGCGAUGGAUCAUCUAAAUGAUAAUGUGCACAGCGUCGAAGAAGUUGUGUUUGUACUGUUGGAAACUCUCAAAGCAAAUGGAACGUUUGAUGAGUUUCGCAGGGAUUGUGUAUCUAAUAUUGAUGCAAAGCCGACUUUUCAAAACUGGAAACAGCGAAUCGAGUCAAAUAUCAACAAAUUUCUUAGUAAAAUUAAUUAUACACCCGAAUUAAACAAAAAUUCAAUUCGAGAGCGACUACGAAAGCAUUUGUUUGAUGGACGUGAAUCUCGUGAAAUAGAAGAUGGAGCAGACAGAAUACUUACUCAAGUGUUCGCUUCUAGAACUCUAAAUGUUUUUGAAACUAAAAUAGAGAAUGCCGUCAAUGAAUAUUUGGGAAUCAAAAAUGAGAAAACAAUUGAACAAAAUGGUAUGCAAGCUUCUUGCAUCAAUGUGAACAAUUUGACUAAAGUUAGUAUAAACUCUACCAACUCAGAUGAUAACCAAGAAUCACCAAGUAAUCACACCGAUAAUGCUGAAGUAACGUCUCCCGAAUUCGAACCCUUAAUUUCGGGUAUGGACAAUGAAAAUAGUAACGAUGAAAGUAUAUCUGGAAUGUCAGAUUUAAAUAGUAUUGGCGGAAGUCCUGUGCAAUGUACAACCAAAAACAAUCUCGAAACUAACUCUAAUGGUAUUAAUUCUGAAAAAUCUUCAAUUGAUAAAUUACAGUCAAUUCCAUCAGAAAAAAAUGGCAUAAGCCCUAAGAAUGAUGAUGAUGAUGAUAACGUAACUGAUGUCAAUAAAAAUACUAACGAUGUUGAAAAACACAAAAUAAGCGAUAACAGUUCAAAGAGUAAACAUCAUUCUUCAGUAACAGACAAACAGUCCAAGGAAAAGUCCAGUAGUAAUCACCAUCAUAAGUCUGACAAGUCCAAAGAUCGUAGUUCUAAUGGUCAAGAAAAGAGUGAUGUAAAAAAGAGCAGUAGCUCUAAAGAUAAAAAAUCUAGUAGCCACAGUAAACACCGCAGUGAGUCGAGAGAUAAGGAUAGGAAGCAUCGAAGUGACAAAAAAUCACAUCACAGUGAUCGAGAACGAACUCCAAAAAGAGAUAGAAAAGAUUCUCGUUCAGAUAUGAAAGAUAAAUCGUCUAGCCUUUGCAAAGAACCCAAAUCAACUAAUGAUAAUCGUAGCGACGACGAGAGCAAUGCUGGCGGUUCUUCAAAACAACAAAAAUCUAGUUUGCAUAAAAAUAGAAGUUCCACGUCUGAGAAGUCCAAAUCGUCUUCCAGUAACCAUAAAAGUGGUAGAAAAGACAAUGGAAAUAAAGACGACGCUGUUAAAAGUAAAGACAAAUUAUUAGAAAGUUCUAAACAUUCAACUCGUAAAAAUAGUACCUCAAAAAAACAUGAAAAAAAAUCAAAAAAGGAAUCGAAUUGUCAAAAUGAUUUAUUUUCAAACAAUGAUCAAGAUAUGGCAAAUGUUCUUUUAUCGAUAGGAGGUACUGUUGUUCCGUACGACAAUGAAAGGAAAACUGAAGAUAUGACGUUAGGUCAAAGGGAAAAAAUAGAAAACACUCAAGAUGAUAUUCAUGAUAAGCUAUCUGAAAGUUCACAAACUAUCCUUAACGUCGAAGAAACCGAUAAACAGGGUGGUGUAAAAACAGUGAGCCCAAUGCAGAAUGCUUCAACUGAAAUUCCUGAAGAUUUGUUAGAAUUGAAUGACUAUACAAAAAAGACAGAGGAGCCACAUAAAGAUAUUUUAAGUAGACAUAAUAAAUUAAAUGUUGUUGUAACAAGCGAAAAAAACGGUGAGAACAAUCCAGUCAAAAGUAUUUCUGAUUUCCCACUAGAACAAAAAAUUGAGAAAAUAACAGAAAUCAAUGAGCUUGUUGAUUCCCAAGAUAAUAUUGAAAAAAAAUCUAGAAUUCCUUCUUCAGACUCGUCUAUUUUAAGAAAUGUAUUCAUCUCUUCCGAUUUAAAAGAGAAAGACCUAACGGACACAGUAAAAUGUCAGGAUGAAAAUAUAAGUGUAAAGGAAGUCUUUAAAUGUAAAAACCCGUUGCAAAAAAUAGAACAAUUGAACUGUGAUAUAAAAACUAGUAACGCUUUUGAUAUUUCUGACGUCUCCAUGGAUAAAGAUAAGAUAACUGUGUUAAACAAUAUAUUGACUACUAAAACUAUUCAAUCACCUAAGGAGUUAAAUUAUUUGAACGAAAUUCCUACACCUAACAAAGUAGGUAUGAUAUUAAAAUUGAAGAAAGUUGGGUUAAAUAAAUAUAAAAGGAAAUCCAGUACCGGGGUUGAAUUCACGAGUAAAAAAGUUAGGUCGUCGAAAAACAUUACGUUUUUGAAUGAAAUUGAUAUUUUUCAAAAAAACGUUCAAUGUAAAAGCAAUAAUGUAAAAAUUGACAACCAUGUAGGUUCUGAAACAAAAACCAUUGUAACUAAUUCUACAAGCGUACAAUGUUCAGUAGUGAAUGAUUCUGAAGUGCUUAAUGAUUUUAUAGGGUUUACUGAAUCACAAGCUGUACCUUGUCAAAACUAUUUAAAUUUGAAAAAUUUACUUGACAAUUACAUUGUGGACACAUGGAAAUUCGAAGGUUUUGCUCCCACAGAAGUGAUUCCAUGUAAAAAUCGAGAGAAAGUAUAUGCUGAAGUGGUUAAAUUAAAAGGCGAUGAAGAGUUUUAUGGGUUUACCGAUGAAGAAGCUCGAGUUUGUUUUGGGUACGAACAGGUCAAACAGCACCUUGAACAAGCUAAACAACAAUUUAUUACAUGGCUGAAAAGUCAACACGAAGCUGUAGGUGGUGGGAACGGCACACAAAACGGAAGAAACAUAAAUGAAAUGAUGGCUGUUUUGUAUGAAAAUGAUAAGAUAACUGACAUCAAAUCAAAUAUAAUUUACAGUCGGCCAAAUAAAAGUAAUAGCAAUCUAGAAGAGAUAUCUACAACGCCAAAUAAUAAUAAUCGCAAUGAAAUUACAACAUCUAGCCAUUGGGUUGCCGAACAAGAAAUGAAAUAUAAACUUUUACCGGUCAAGGUAAAACUGGAAAGGCUUUUAGAAUCCAGAUCUAAUGAUACAACCUAAACGUUUUUCUGAAUCUCUACAAGUAUUGAGUGCAUCAAGUGUUUCUCUUGGAAAAAGUACACAUAUUUUCAUUAAUUUCACUUUUACCUUUCAAUAAUAGUAUAAAAACCAAAUAAUCUUUAUCAAUAUUCUAUUACACUAACACCAAUCACCACCAAAAUUUACUUGGAUUAACUAGUUUUGAUAGAGGACAAUCAAAAAUAUAAUAAUAUUAAUUGACAGAAGAGAAAUAAUUCACAAGUUAGAUCAAAUCAUUUUUACAACCAGUGUUUGACAUAGCCAAGACUGAAAUAAUAUUGUUUUUUUUUUUAUGGAAAAUAAUAUAUUUACAAUGAGCCACGUGAGAGAAAAAACUGGGAAAAAUAAAAUUUCAGCUUAAUUAGUAGUUAAAUAACUACACAAAAAUUGUAUUGUAUUAUAUUACGCUAAUACUUUAUGUUAUUAUAAUGAUUAAUUAAUAAAUCAUCUUUAGUUUAAAGUAGUUGAAAAGAAGAUGUGUAGAUAUAUGUAUGUAUUUUU